rnacentral:lncRNA from 1 species
UUAAAAAAAGAUAUUGUGUUCCAAAUAAUGUUCCCACUUGUCCAAAAUUCCAAAUUACUCUCACAAGAAUUAGUGUUUUUUUUGUGAACAUGUGAAGCCAUCAUACAUUUACUACAAUCAUGAUAUGUUUGAACAUAAUUAAUAAAUAUUAUUUUUAUUUGCAUUUAAAAAAUACCAAGAUCGAUUCUGGGCAGAGGAGGGCCCUUCGAUGGUGGAGUUUACUGUUGCCGUCGACAGGUGGUGGGUGGAUCCACCGGAUUAGUUCUCAGAAACUGGUUGUCUCAUGGCGGUAAGUUUCUACUGAUUUUGUCCUGCUUCGCGUUUUGAUUCUCCCAUGAUGAUGGCUCACUGAUAAAUUUUCUAGACCAGCGGUAUGUUUGGAUGAACGAUUGGGUGCGGUGCGGUGCGUUUAAUUUACUUUUUGUUUCACGCUACAGUAUCGCUAUAUUAUCUAAUCUCACUGCCACCGCUAUUUUUACACUAACCGUAGGUAAACGCACGAGGCUUUUUGAUUUCUGUUUAGGGGCUCUGGUAUAAAGAGUGUUUGGUUUGCUUUUCUUUAUUUUCUGUCAACGUUCCGUUUGCUGGUAUGUAUUUUCUUAUUUUUCUUUUCUCUAUUUGGUCAAUUUAUGAAUGUAC